UUAGCUCAGGCGCCAGGCACCUGAGUUCCAGCCAGGCACCAGGACAAACAGGAAUAUCCAGGCCCAUCCAGAAGUGUCGAUUGCAAAGAAGCCACAAGAAUGCACCUAUUUUCUUUAUCUUAAACUUCAGUAAAACUUCCUGGUAAGUUACUGUAUAAAAUAAACCUGCUGUAUCUGCUCUGGGUCCCUGUUUCUCCAUCAGAGGGCAGCUGACCCACCCUGUCCCAGCUUUCUCUACUGUCUUUGUGUCUGUCUCUUUCAUUUUCCCAAUCCCCUGUAACCCCUACUCAGGACUCCUGUCUGCUCUCUAGUUGUGCUGGUCGCAUAAAAGAGAAAUAUUUAUAGACUGGCAUCAUGUGCCUGCAGAGAGAGGCAAAGCUUUAUUGAGGAUGGGUGGGAGAGGAAGGGCGAGGUGUCGGUUGGGGUCUCCAAGUUUAAGGUUCCUGAUGGGCCAGGGGCAGGCCCAGGGCGAGCUCCA